GGGUUUUUCACGGUUAUGGUUCAUUUAGUAGUCCAUCUAGCAACUGAAUGUAAGCUUGGUGGACCAGUUAACUAUAGAUGGAUGUAUUUUAUUGAGAGGUACCUAGGAAAAUUGAAAUCAUAUGUUCGGAACAAAGCAUAUCCAGAAGCUUCAAUAGCAAAUUCAUUCUUGGCAGAUGAGUGUAUGGUGUUUUGUUCUAGGUACAUAGAAGGUUUCGCUACCAAGCAUAAUAAACCAUCAAGGAACGAUGAUAGUUUGGACCAUACCCAAUCGAAGAUGGUUGGACAAGAUUCAUCUUUAUUCCCUUCAGUAGGGAAAUCAUUGGGAAAACCAGCCAAUUUUGAAUUAAGUCAUCUAGAGAAAUUGCAAGCGCAUAGAUAUGUGUUGUACAAUUGUGAUGUUGUUAAUCCAUAUCUAAAGGAACAUGCUUCUAAUCUGAAACGAAAGAGACGCGACCGU